CGACUCUCGGCAACGGAUAUCUCGGCUCUCGCAUCGAUGAAGAACGUAGCGAAAUGCGAUACUUGGUGUGAAUUGCAGAAUCCCGUGAACCAUCGAGUUUUUGAACGCAAGUUGCGCCCGAAGCCUUCGGCUGAGGGCACGUCUGCCUGGGCGUCACGC
rnacentral:rRNA from 1 species